AGCUUUAGGAAAAGAUCUAAAGUUAGRCCUGCCCWAKGUGUUUAUAUUAAUGGCCGCGGUACUUUGSCCGUGCUAAGGUAGCACAAUCAAUUGGCUUUUAAUUGGGGUCAGGAAUGAAUGGAGUUUUGGGGUMUAACUGUCUCCUAGUUAUUUCUUUGAAGUUACUAUGUAGGUGAAAAAGCCUAUAUUAUGAAAAAGGACGAGAAGACCCUUAGAGUUUUUCUUAUUUUAAGUUAUAGGAAUAGUACUUAUAAUAGUUUAGUUGGGGCAACAUGGGAGUAAUAUUAAGUAUAAUCUCCUUAAUAAUUAUUMACCGAUUAUUUUAAAAWWSAKUAAACUACCUURGGAUAACAGCAUAAUUUAUUAUUUAAGUUUGUGACCUCGAUGUUGGACUAGGAAACUAAUAGGCUAGUCGUCUUUUAGGUAAGUUCUGUUCGAACUAAAAUUCCU
rnacentral:rRNA from 1 species